AUUGAACGCUGGCGGCAGGCCUAACACAUGCAAGUCGAGCGAGCGGCGGACGGGUGAGUAAUGUCUGGGGCACUGCCCGAUGGAGGGGGGUAACUACUGGAAACGGUAGCUAAUACCCCAUACUAUCGGAUGGGCCCAUAUGGGAUUAGCUCGUAGGUGGGGUAAUGGCUCACCUAGGCGCCGAUCCCUAGCUGGUCUGAGAGGAUGAUCAGCCAACCUGGGACUGAGACACGGCCCAGACUCCUACGGUAGGCAGCAGGGGGGAAUAUUGCACAUGGGGCGCAAGCCUGAUGCAGCCAUGCCGCGUGUAUGAAGAAGGCCUUCGGGUUGUAAAGUACUUUCAGCGGGGAGGCGUUACCCACAGAAGAAGCACCGGCUAACUCCGUGCCAGCCGCCGCGGUAAUAC
rnacentral:rRNA from 1 species